UGGUGUGGCUCAGGGGUAGAGCAAUUGAUUCGUAAUCAAUGGGUCGGCGGUUCAAAUCCGCCCACC
rnacentral:tRNA from 1 species